GACAGAGGGUGCAAACGUUGCUCGGAAUCACUGGGCGUAAAGGGCGCGUAGGCGGGAAUGUAAGUCGGGCGUGAAAUCCCCAGGCUCAACCUGGGAACUGCACUCGAAACUGCGUUUCUUGAGUAUCGGAGAGGAAAGCGGAAUUCCUGGUGUAGAGGUGAAAUUCGUAGAUAUCAGGAGGAACACCAGUGGCGGAAGGCGGCUUUCUGGACGGUAAC
rnacentral:rRNA from 1 species